GAUGAACGCUGGCGGCGUGCCUAAUACAUGCAAGUCGAGCGAACGGACGAGAAGCUUGCUUCUCUGAUGUUAGCGGCGGACGGGUGAGUAACACGUGGAUAACCUACCUAUAAGACUGGGAUAACUUCGGGAAACCGGAGCUAAUACCGGAUAAUAUUUUGAACCGCAUGGUUCAAAAGUGAAAGACGGUCUUGCUGUCACUUAUAGAUGGAUCCGCGCUGCAUUAGCUAGUUGGUAAGGUAACGGCUUACCAAGGCAACGAUGCAUAGCCGACCUGAGAGGGUGAUCGGCCACACUGGAACUGAGACACGGUCCAGACUCCUACGGGAGGCAGCAGUAGGGAAUCUUCGGCAAUGGGCGAAAGCCUGACGGAGCAACGCCGCGUGAGUGAUGAAGGUCUUCGGAUGGUAAAACUCUGUUAUUAGGGAAGAACAUAUGUGUAAGUAACUGUGCACAUCUUGACGGUACCUAAUCAGAAAGCCACGGCUAGCUACGUG
rnacentral:rRNA from 1 species